CUAUUUCCUAUUUUCUAAUUCCCUAUGGGAAUUUUAGAAUAUCCCAUUUAUUUUACCUUACUCAGGUGCAUGUGUAAAAGCUCAAAACUAUAAGGGUUUUUUCUGAAUGCUUAGAUUUGUUCCUAGUGCCGAGUUCCUAGUGAAAGUAUAUAUUUAUUUUUUUUUAGCAGUUAAUGAUUUUUUUACAGCACUUUGAUUUUGAAAUGAACCUGGAGGGUAGAUUACUUCUAGUAACUGAGGAGUAUAUUAUUAAAGUAAUAUAAUUUAGUAUUUUUACUGCUUUUCUGUGUGAAAAAUUAUAAAGAUAAAAAAUAUGGAAGACAAAAAUUGGCAAAGGAAAGACAGAAAAAAGGUGAAGGAAAAGCAAUGAAGUUGGAAAGUUGUAUUAUGGUUGCAAUAGAAAAAAAAAAGUCUACCUCUUAUGAAUAUAUAGGGGGCUGUACAAGACUACAUUAGGUGAGAAUUGUGAUUGGAUUGAUGAGUUCAUAUUAUGUUGCUAAUUCUAUUUUUAAUGCAAAACUAUAAUGCUCCUGAGGUUUAUUUUGUUUUUGUUUUCUUUGUGUAGCAAUGAAAUUUAGUAGGUGUGAUCAUUUAUUGGAGCUGACCUCCCUUUGUCUUAUCCAUUCAGAAUUUUAAAGUCACUUUCAGCGUGAGCCACAGUGCCAGGAAAUUUGUAGGGUUUAUUAUCUCCCUGAUAUGGAUAAAAAGCUGAGAACAAGAUUUAUGGAGAUUAAACACCAUUAUUUAAUGCAACAGUCUGGUUCAAAAGUCUUCAGGAUAAACUACUAACUGAAUGAGCAAAUACUACAAUACGGGAUAUGUGACUUUUCCUCCAACUUGUAAGAUAUCCGCAUUUGCCCUUCUUUCAGGCAGAUGCAUGCCCACCACUCUUCCUACACCACAUGAGUGUUUAUGGAUCUGAAGAAUCAUUUAGUAAAGAAGGGUCUGAUAAAGAAUCUGUCUGCUGAGUUGGGACAUCUGUACACAGCUGAAGAAAGGUAUGUGAUGCAGUUAUUUUCCUAUGUGGAAAAAAUAACUUUGUUUGUUUGUUUGUUUGUUUUGUAUAAUACUAAAAUGGCGUGUGAUAUUUGCUGUUCUUUAGAAUAAGACUGCUAUACUUGAAAAUCAAAACAUUGCAACAUACUUUAUCAACUUGCCUAUAUUCUGAAUCUAUGAAAUUUUAUUUUCUCUUGUUCUUAUUCAAUUUAUGAUUUAUUUUUCUCCCUGUAUAAAUCAGUUUCUAUUCUGUGGAUUCAUGGCAGGUAUUCCAUCUUGUUUUUCAAUAUGCUAUGUCUGGAACAAAUAUCUAGUCAGUCAUGGGCAUAUAAAAUAUUAAUCAUACAUGUUUGAAGGUAUGUUGCUAUAGCAAUUCCUUUAGUGCAAGGAAAAAUCAGAAUAUAGCAGGCCAGGGAUAUGAGAACAGUAGGAAUUACAAAGCUAUAAUAGCACUAUUAACACAUUACUGCAUCGUAAUGAUAUUAUUUCCUAACUGUUCUAGUCCCAAGCUGGCUAAUUUUCAAGAUAGAAUUCUUCAGCAGGGAUUUCAUAAAUGACUCCAACAUAAAAGACAACUGCAAUAUGAAGAAGACAUUAAGUAAUCUGAAGAAAAUGUUUUUAAAAAGAGGAAGUAAACAAACAUAUAAAAUAUCUUCUGUUCACAAUUUACCAUAUCCCUUCUCUUCCUUGUUUCAGUGUGAACAACCCCAAAGGACCAAACAUGACAGAACUGGCAUGAAGAAAAUAGAAAGAUGCUGCUUAAAAGAAAUGUUGUGAGUUCAGCAUGUAAAGAUACAGAGCAAGAAAGCAGGGACAGCCAGAAGGAGAAAUGUUGUAUGGCAGUAAAAUUUCAUCUAACUGGAAUCUAAUCUAACUGGAAAAUUUUAAAACCAAACCAGAAAAGGCAUUGUCUCUGAGAAGACUGUAGCUAUCUGGUGGAGAAAGAAGGCCAUAAGUUACAGUGCAGUUCGUGGAUGAAGAAAGAAUGCCAUAGCAAAUUAAUUGAUCAUGAACAUGAACUGAAGCAUAGUGUGAAUGAGCUGGUAGGAUGUGCAUUUAGCUUGCAUUCAGGCUGCUAACCAUCUGGGUGUACUAGUACUCCCUUCACUGAAGGGAGGUGGGGCAAUGUCAAGCAAUCCCACAUUUAACAUUUAACUCUGUUUGAUCCUUUAUUAACGUCAAUGUUUACACAGUGUUAUAAAACAUCCUGAGUUGCCUGCAACUAAUCUCCCUAUGCUAUGCUCCCUUUUCUAAAGUCCUAAAGCAUAACUGUCUUAAUAUCACUGUUUUUUGACACAUUCUUUAAAGAAAAGAAAGCAUGAAUCCCAUAAACAAAUCAAAAAUGCAGUAGGCCUUUGGAUUUGUUGUGGUGAUUUAAUGUCUGAAUGAACAAGAAAAAAACAUUUAUUUCUAAAUUGAUGAGAUCAAACAAUAAAGAUUUGAUGGAGCUAACA
rnacentral:lncRNA from 1 species